GGGAGCUAAAGCGUAUGUAGUUCAAUUCAAUUCUCCUGGGUGUGUUAUAUGUGCAGGUAAUACACUGUUUACUUUCGAAACCAGCUCUCCUGAUUUCAGGGCCCUUGUUGGUUUAAUUGAUCAGGCCAGGAUUGUAUUUAUACUGAACCAACAUAACCUGGUGUGUCAAGAAUUUGGAUCACGUUAUUUCAGGGAUGGUCAAUCUCUGGUACUGCAAGGCAAACCUGAAUUCCAUUACUAAGGCUACAUUUAUCUCUGGUAAUGAAUACACAUUUUCCCAUACUCUGCAACAGAAAUGCUUCCAGAAACAGCAUUUCAAUUUAUUUCAGGUAACAGAAUCCUGAAUCAGAGCCUGUGUACAACGGACCUCUAUAAUGAUGUUCAGGAUGGUGGUCCACAGAGAAGGUGAUGAUUCCAUGAUCACUAAAACAUUUAACCCUUUCAAUAUGCCACUUGAUUCACUUUAAAAAUGUGUACUUUGAAAUAAAAAAAAAGUGUCAUAACAUUUAUUCUACAAUGGAUCUUCAUUCAAAAGAAGCACCAUUACAAUGCUGUUAUGAUAGCAUGGUGUGUAGCUGUAACCCACAAUUUUUAAGGUGUGGGAAUACAUUGACAUACCCAUCAAACCAUGUGGACACUGGAAAUGUUUUUUGGACUCUACUUCUUUCUCUCUCAGCUGGGCUUUACAAAACAACAUGUGAUACAAAACUUAAAAAACCUUUUUUUUUGUCAUAUAUACACCCAACUCAAAAAAACACCCCACAAUGUAUAUCAUUUAUAUUCACCUGGAAAAUACUUUACAAAAACAUAGCACUUUAUACCAAAUGCUUGU